rnacentral:rRNA from 1 species
GAUGAACGCUGACAGCAUGCUUAACACAUGCAAGUCAACUUGAACUUCGGUUUGGGUGGCGGACGGGUGAGUCACGCGUAAAGAACUUGCCUCACAGCUAGGGACAACAUUUGGAAACGAAUGCUAAUACCUGAUAUUAUGAUUUUAGGGCAUCCUAGAAUUAUGAAAGCUAUAUGCGCUGUGAGAGAGCUUUGCGUCCCAUUAGCUAGUUGGAGAGGUAACGGCUCACCAAGGCGAUGAUGGGUAGCCGGCCUGAGAGGGUGAACGGCCACAAGGGGACUGGGAAAGGGCCCUUACGCCUACGGGAGGCAGCAGUGGGGAAUAUUGGAAAAUGGACCAAGAGUCUGAUCCAGCAAUUCUGUGUGUACGAUGAAGUUUUUCGGAAUGUAAAGUGCUUUGAGUUGGGAAGAAAAAAAUGACGGUACCAACAGAAGAAGUGACGGCUAAAUACGUG